CGGAUCGGAGUCUGCAACCCGACUCCGUGAAGCUGGAUUCGCUAGUAAUCGCGCAUCAGCCAUGGCGCGGUGAAUACGUUCCCGGGCCUUGUACACACCGCCCGUCAAGCCAUGGAAGCCGGGAGUGCCUGAAGUAUGCAACCGCGAGGAGCGUCCUAAGGUAAAACCGGUGACUGGGGCUAAGUCGUAACAAGGUACC
rnacentral:rRNA from 1 species